rnacentral:sRNA from 1 species
GCUGGGCGUGGUGGUUCACACCUGUAAUCCCAACAGCUUGGGAGGCUGAGGCAGGAGGAUGGCUAUUUCAAAGCCAGCGUUAAGCAAUUUAGUGAGACCCUGUCUCUA